UGGCAACAGUGCAUACCUCGCUCAAUAUCUGAGCUUGCCCAAUCGUUUUAUGAUGAUUUGGGAAGCUCAGUUCACGGAUCACCAAAAAUUUGAGUUAGUUUACUUUGACGAGUUUCCUGAUUUCAGGCUCAUAAAUGAUGGGUUGUGCAAAUUUCAGAACCAUAUUUAGGUCCCUGUUGCUUUCAAGAUGGAUGUUCAUCCACCCCUGAAGUACCAAGAUAUACCGGGAUGUGAAGCAUCAAUAUUGAUGGCCUGGAAUGAAGAAGGACAUUGUUAACUAUGUCUCCCAAUGCCUCACUUGCCAACGAGUUAUGGCAGAACACCAAAGACCUGGGUGUUUGUUGCAAGUCCU
rnacentral:lncRNA from 1 species